GUGUGUGUGUGUGGAUGAUUGUAGCCAGUCAACUUUCUUAGAAAGGUGACACUCUCCCCUUUUUUCCUGCAGAUGAGGACCUACCCCAGGCAUGCACACAUUUAGUCAUCAGUCUGCCCUUCCCGACAUGUCAUCUCACCGCGACAAAAAUAUCACUCCAAACGAGUGCCUGGCUGUUACACAUGAGCGCCACGUGUUGUCAUCUGUCACCGUUGAAGGCGCGUCAGACCCUUCGCUUUCGCCGCGUCCCCUAAAAGAGAUGAAGGAGCGCGCGUCUCAUGGCACGGUCCCAUCUGUGGCAGAGCGAGGGAGAUAUACAGAAGUUCGACAGCGCCCAGUAUUCACAGGUGACUGGUCAGCGCCUGGAAUUACCCACAAUGCUAAGUUUCACUUUCACUGCCGUUCUGAUCAAUGUCAUUUAAAACUCGCAUGAGGAGAUGAACAAGCGUGCUCCGAUUACAGGGAGGACACCGUCACAAUCUUGAGCAUACCAAGACUUUUCAGGCAUUCAGGAAACUUCUACUAUAACGGUGGGAGGAAAACUUCUGCAACAGUCUCUGCUGUAAGGAACCACUGCAGUCAGCAAGCUCUUCAGAACUAAAGACAGUGGGGUCAUUUGUGGCCCAGCCACAUGAAAAAGGGGACCUUCACCGGCCUGCAAACAAAGGAUCAUCUUUCCUGCUUGAUAAACGUGUUUUCUCUCACAUUCCUCGCAUCUUCAUUGCAGGAAGACUUGUAAUCCAGCUGUGGCACUAAAGGUCUGCAUGAGAGAGAUCACUAAGCGAAAGGUACUAACCGUUCUGUGAACAUCACCAAACCACGUCACAACUGGCGUUUUCAAGUCCGAUUUCAAUCCGGCGGGAGAAAACCGAGAAACACGAAGCCAAGUCGGGAACGCUGCGGACGCGCCGUCAAAGGUUUUAAGAACGUAAUCAUAAAAACACACUUAUAUUUAAAGCAUCGAUCCAAGCAGCCAAAAAAAAACAAAAAACAACUCCCCAUCCGAGUCAAUAUCUUCAGUUAAAUGCAUCAGAGGCUAGUUCUGCUUAUCUGAGAUAGCACUGCCAACACAAAGAAGGUGGCGACGGAAAUGGGGGGGGGG